AAUGAAGGGGAUGAUGUUUUCUUCUGCGAAUAUGAGUAUGAUAUGCGCUGGCAUAGUUUCAAACGUAUUGCAGAUAUU